rnacentral:rRNA from 1 species
GAUGAACGCUGGCGGCGUGCCUAAUACAUGCAAGUCGAGCGAACAGACGAGGAGCUUGCUCCUCUGACGUUAGCGGCGGACGGGUGAGUAACACGUGGAUAACCUACCUAUAAGACUGGGAUAACUUCGGGAAACCGGAGCUAAUACCGGAUAAUAUAUUGAACCGCAUGGUUCAAUAGUGAAAGACGGUUUUGCUGUCACUUAUAGAUGGAUCCGCGCCGCAUUAGCUAGUUGGUAAGGUAACGGCUUACCAAGGCGACGAUGCGUAGCCGACCUGAGCGGGUGAUCGGCCACACUGGAACUGAGCCACGGUCCAGACUCCUACGGGAGGCAGCAGUAGGGAAUCUUCCGCAAUGGGCGAAAGCCUGACGGAGCAACGCCGCGUGAGUGAUGAAGGUCUUCGGAUCGUAAAACUCUGUUAUUAGGGAAGAACAAAUGUGUAAGUAACUAUGCACGUCUUGACGGUACCUAAUCAGAAAGCCACGGCUAACUACGUG